rnacentral:sRNA from 1 species
AUGGCUGUCGUCAGCUCGUGUCGUGAGAUGUUGGGUUAAGUCCCGCAACGAGCGCAACCCUUGUCCCUAGUUGCUACGCAAGGGCACUCUAGGGAGACUGCCGGUGACAAACCGGAGGAAGGUGGGGAUGACGUCAAGUCCUCAUGGCCCUUAUGGGUAGGGCUUCACACGUCAUACAAUGGCCGGUACAGAGGGUUGCCAAAGCGCGAGCUGGAGCCAAUCCCAGAAAGCCGGUCGUAGUCCGGAUUGCAGUCUGCAACUCGACUGCAUGAAGUCGGAAUCGCUAGUAAUCGCGGAUCAGCAUGUCGCGGUGAAUACGUUCCCGGGUCUUGUACACACCGCCCGUCACACCAUGGGAGCGGGAUGUACCAGAAGUAGGUAGGCUAACCGCAAGGGGGCCGCUUACCACGGUGCGUUUCGUGACUGGGGUGAAGUCGUAACAAGGUAGCCGUAUCGGAAGGUGCGGCUGGAUCACCUCCUUUCUAGAGACAACCCACGUCUUCAAGUGUCCACUCUUAUCGGUUGUUGCCGCGUAAAACGAGCGGCCAGCGAAUGCCGGAUACGGGCCUGUAGCUCAGCUGGUUAGAGCACCGUCUUGAUAAGGCGGGGGUCGAUGGUUCGAAUCCAUCCAGACCCACCAUCGAAGGCGGCUCGGGAGCCCAUCGCGGCGUAAGGGUCCAGCGUGCACAGAACAUGCACCGGCCAAGCAACGAAGAGUCGCGAAGCGAGAGGGGCUGUAGCUCAGUUGGGAGAGCACCUGCUUUGCAAGCAGGGGGUCGUCGGUUCGAUCCCGUCCAGCUCCACCACUUAGGAAGCCGGAGGCAGAAUCAGAAAAUCCAGCGCAGAGGGCAGAAGUAAACGGGAAGGUUUACUUCUGAUCUUUGGAUCGGUGCCGAGAAGUUCGGUUGUUCUUUAAAAAAAUGGAAGAAGUAAAGCGCACACGACGGAACAAUGUCGUGUGUUGGGUUAGAUUGUAUCGAACCAUUUUCUCCUAGUCCGAGAAAGUGGAAAUCGCAAACACCCGUGACGCGAAGCAGCAGUGCUUAGUGUUAUGGGGUCAAGCGACUAAGUGCAUGUGGUGGAUGCCUUGGCGAUUACAGGCGAUGAAGGACGUGGCAGCCUGCGAAAAGCUCCGGGGAGCUGGCAAACAAGCAUUGAUCCGGAGAUGUCCGAAUGGGGAAACCCGG